rnacentral:rRNA from 1 species
ACGACCAUACCACAUUGAAAACACCGGUUCUCGUUCGAUCACUGAAGUUAAGCAAUGUCGGGCCUGGUCAAUACUUGGGAGGGUGAUCACCUGGGAAAACCGGGUGUGGCUAUAGGCU